rnacentral:rRNA from 1 species
UAGGGAAUCUUCCACAAUGGACGAAAGUUUGAUGGAGCAACGCCGCGUGAGUGAAGAAGGGUUUCGGCUCGUAAAACUCUGUUGUUAAAGAAGAACAUAUCUGAGAGUAACUGUUCAGGUAUUGACGGUAUUUAACCAGAAAGCCACGGCUAACUACGUGCCCG